GUCGCUGCUAUAAAAGGCAAUCGAAAACAAAGGAAGUUAGACACGAUGUCACAUACAUGCACGUGGCAGCUGGCGGGAAAAACUGGUCUACCCUUCCCCGCCAAUCAACGUAAGGCAAAUCGCCGACUGUGGCGCUGUAUGCACUUUCAAGACCGGCAGAUGUUUUUUCCCUCUAUACACAUACGCACGCGCAUAGGCGAAUAAAAAGAAAAACCCGGUCAAUAACCUUGACAUCCGAGGAAUUUCGAGUUUCAGCCAUUCAAGCAAGCACCGAACCAAGCCAAGAGACUUUUGGCCCGAGGCUGUUCCGUCGAAGGGCGCACAUACAGCAAGACAAGCACCUACCAUGGCCGCCAGUAAAAUUUUUUCUUCCCCUCCCCUUUUACUUCAUACCUCCACCCCUCCGCCUCACCUAUUCUUUGACGCAUCGGCCCCCUAUCCGCCUUUCAGAACAUAAACGGGAGAUACGACUUAAAAGCUGACAGGACGCAUGCUCCGCUGGUACAUCCUACACACACGGCAGAUACACACACCGCCUGCAUGCAGCUUGUAGCAGCGGGCCGGCAUCCAGCAACACACACCGGCGCCAUCUUGCCGCCUUCCCGAACUUUCCUCUUACCCAAGCGAUUGCUAGUACGCGGUCAUCGAACGCGCCACAAGAAACAUUUUCACAUGCGGCGUGUGACAAGUAAAGAGAAAUGCUCACCUGGUUUCGACGUGUGUGUCAGCCAUUUUAGAUUACAAAUACACUGCUUGCAGUUAAAGUAGAGAUUUUAAAAAGUGUUCGAAUUUCGGUGUGUAGGAGAACUUAGUCAGCCCGUGUUACUAGUAAUCUGCACACUUGUUAGUCUGACGGAAGGCGCUGCACGAAUGGAAGUGUCUCGCUGUAUACACGUUCGAUCUCGAAA